CAUUUGUAACUCUGCCAAGCAGUGAUGCAGUACUGAUGAAGCUCAUUUAGAUUCUAUGUGAGGGAAUUUGCUGUCUUUUGGCAAGCGAUCCUGUGGUAAUUUGGGCAUUUUGCCAACAUCCUCAUGCAUCUUAAUUCUUGGUUGAUAUUCUCUCUGUUGCAUUGAACCAAAGCUGUAUUUCAGGUAUAUUGUUGCUUUGGUUUUGUGUGUUAUUGGUGGUUCUGAAGUUCCUGUGCUGCAUCAGCACUUAUGUUGCAUUAACCUUAACAUCAUUCUUACUUCAGUGUUCAAGAGCUCAGUUCCAAAGGUUUGGAUACUGAUGCACUCUUAUCAACUGCAAACCUGAAGGCUGUCAUUUUAAUUGGUGGACUUCCAGCUCAUUCCUUUUCAUUCUAGCCGAUGUGAUGUGUAUCUUGACAUACCACCUACAUGCCUGAUGGUUAAGCGUGUCUGAUGCAUUUAAUAAUAAGUUUAGUUAUGUGGCUUUAAGCUGCUGGGAAUUCUCCACCUUGACCACACAGUCAGCUUGCUGCCCAAAUAACAGUGUGUCUUUAUCAUAGUUUGACACAACGCUGGUGCUGCUUAGGCACGCCUGCCAGUGAAGGUUUGAGGAGGGUAAUAAAGGGUUAGUUCUGGGGUUUGUGAAAUUAGAGUUAAGAGCAGUCAUUUUUUUAUGUUUAUUAGUGGAGUAUUUCAAUUUUUUCUCUUUUGGAAAGUAUUUGUUUGCAGUAUACACAAGGAAGUUGUGAGCUGUCUCAAACACAUUCCUUCCACUUCCAUCAGUUCCGUCUUAAUGUGAACUAUGGUUCCAGCUUAUCGAGGGAAACAUCUGCACAAUGCAGACAGAUGGUACAUCAUGGCCUUAUGUUCAGCCUUCUGGGGGCCUAGUGGCAUCUCUGGUAGAGCAGGCUGAGG